rnacentral:rRNA from 1 species
UUAGGGUUUGAUUCUGGCUCAGGAUGAACGCUAGCGGCAGGCUUAACACAUGCAAGUCGAGGGGUAACAGGAAAAAGCUUGCUUUUUAGCUGACGACCGGCGCACGGGUGCGUAACGCGUAUAGAAUCUACCUUUUACUAAGGGAUAGCCUUUAGAAAUGAAGAUUAAUACCUUAUAGUAUUGCAAAUUGGCAUCAAUUUGUAAUUAAAGAUUUAUUGGUAAAAGAUGACUAUGCGUUCUAUUAGUUAGUUGGUGAGGUAACGGCUCACCAAGACAGCGAUAGAUAGGGGUCCUGAGAGGGAGAUCCCCCACACUGGUACUGAGACACGGACCAGACUCCUACGGGAGGCAGCAGUGAGGAAUAUUGGGCAAUGGAGGCAACUCUGACCCAGCCAUGCCGCGUGCAGGAAGACGGCCCUAUGGGUUGUAAACUGCUUUUAUACAGGAAGAAACACUCCCUCGUGAGGGAGCUUGACGGUACUGUAAGAAUAAGCACCGGCUAACUCCGUGC